UACGAAGGGGGGCUAGCGUUGCUCGGAAUCACUGGGCGUAAAGCGCACGUAGGCGGCUUUUUAAGUCAGGGGGUGAAAUCCUGGAGCUCAACUCCAGAACUGCCUUUGAUACUGAGAGCUUGAGUCCGGGAGAGGUGAGUGGAACUGCGAGUGUAGAGGUGAAAUUCGUAGAUAUUCGCAAGAACACCAGUGGCGAAGGCGGCUCACUGGCCCGGUACUGACGCUGAGGUGCGAAAGCGUGGGGAGCAAACAGG
rnacentral:rRNA from 1 species